rnacentral:rRNA from 1 species
UGAGCAAUCUGCCCUUCUCUUCGGAAUAAGCGUUGGAAACGACGUCUAAUGCCGAAUACGACCUCCUUUCGCAUGAUCGGAGGUGGAAAGCUCCGGCGGAGAAGGAUGAGCUCGCGGCCUAUCAGCUAGUUGGUGUGGGUAAUGGCCCACCAAGGCGACGACGGGUAGCCGGCCUGAGAGGGCGACCGGCCACACUGGGACUGAGACACGGCCCAGACCUCCGUACGGGAGGNAGCG